rnacentral:rRNA from 1 species
GCAGGCGGCUUGGUAAGUCGGGUGUGAAAUCCCGGAGCUCAACUCCGGAACUGCGCUUAAAACUGCCGCGCUCUGAGUCCGAGAGAGGAUAGCGGAAUUCCCAGUGUAGAGGUGAAAUUCGUAGAUAUUGGGAAGAACACCAGUGGCGAAGGCGGCUAUCUGGCUCGGUACUGACGCUGAGGCGCGAAAGCGUGGGGAGCAAACAGG